rnacentral:sRNA from 1 species
UACAUGGACGUCGGACGAUAUAUGUGU